rnacentral:rRNA from 1 species
CACGUAGGGCGCAAGCGUUGUCCGGAAUUAUUGGGCGUAAAGAGCUCGUAGGCGGUCUGUUGCGUCCGCUGUGAAAACUCGGGGCUUAACCCCGAGCCUGCAGUGGAUACGGGCAGACUAGAGGUAGGUAGGGGAGAAUGGAAUUCCCGGUGUAGCGGUGAAAUGCGUAGAGAUCGGAAAGAACACCAACGGCGAAAGCGCUCUGCUGGGCCGACACUGACACUGAGAGACGAAAGCUAGGGGAGCGAAUGGG